UUAUAUUUCAUUUUUCUAAUUUAUCAGAUGUCAUUGGGAAGCUUUCUGGAAUUAGUAAAAUGGAAGAAAGCUGCAAGAACGCCUUAUGUAUGUGUCACUCUAGCAACUGUUCUAAGUGUUGAGACUUAGCGUGGCUGGUACUACAAUUCUUGCAAAAAGUGUAGCAAAAAGGUGAUUCCUGAUGGAACUCGAUUCUAUUGUGAAUUCUGUGAGAGAAUGGUAACUUGUGUUGGACUAAGUUUCAAAGUCCAACUGAGGGUGAUAGAUGAGUCUGGGAGUGCUUCGUUGAUUUUAUUUGAUCGUCAGGUUGUCCAGUUUCUGCAAAGUACUGCCGUGCAAUUACACCAACA